UAGGCUAGUUUCUAUUCACACACUCUUCUUUAUCCUCCAUCUGGGCAGGCAAGAGGUAUUAUUAGAGUCAAAGGAUACAUUCCAGCCAACCAAAAACAUUUGGGGAGUCCUUGAUCUUGGGUGGGGGAGAGUAGAGAGGUCAGACAGAGAGACCGGCAGCUCUGUAUUCUUCUCCUGCACCUGAGGGUCCUCACGCUUGCAUGAGGUGUGAAUAUGUUACACUUGGAGGGGAGCAGAGGUCACAUUCAGGAAGACUGUGAGCUGCACAGUGGAUUGUCCACCUCUGGUUACGCCUUCCAAUACCAGAAUGAUGCACUUCUCCAGAAGUCCCCCCC